rnacentral:rRNA from 1 species
CCUACGGGAGGCAGCAGUAGGGAAUAUUGCUCAAUGGGGGAAACCCUGAAGCAGCAACGUCGCGUGGAGGAUGAAGGUUUUAGGAUUGUAAACCCCUUUUGGGAGAGAAGAUAAUGACGGUAUCUCACGAAUAAGCACCGGCUAACUCCGUGCCAGCAGCCGCGGUAAUACGGAGGGCUGAAGCGGUACUCGGAAUCACUGGGCGUAAAGAGUGAGCAGGCGGGCUUGUAAGUCAGAUGUGAAAUCCUGUAGCUUAACUACAGAACUGCAUUUGAAACUAUGAGUCUAGAGUGUGGGAGAGGUAGGUGGAAUUCUUGGUGUAGGGGUAAAAUGCGUAGAUAUCAAGAAGAAUACUCAUUGCGAAGGCGACCUACUGGAACAUUACUGACGCUCAUGCACGAAAGCGUGGGGAGCAAACAGGAUUAGAUACCCGUGUAGUC